rnacentral:lncRNA from 1 species
GAGUGAAGCUUUGGAACAGGUAUGGAGAAAGCGCCUGGCAGAGUUAAUCCAGUGUUUGGAUUUGGCAAGGAUCUGUCAUUGGUCCUGCUGAGAAGCCAGCUAGACAUGUUGAUGUGGCCAGUCCUUCUGCUGCUGUCUGGGUCCUUGUCGUGUGUCCUGGCAUGGAAGGAGUCAUAAUGAGAUGGAUGGGCUGAAAAAAAAAAAAAUCAAUCAAUCCUGCCUCUUUCCACCACACUACUUCAGGCUAGGUCCAUGCUUAUGGGGCACUAAGUAUUGUAUUAAAUUUUUCUUUGACUAAUUACUUUUCAGAAUAAACAUUUUGUUCCUUACCAAUCUCAAAAAAAUGACUAGUG